rnacentral:rRNA from 1 species
UGUGUAGGCGGGUCGUUAAGUAUCUUGUGAAAUCCCCCGGCUCAACCGGGGAACUGCUGGGUAUACUGGCGAUCUUGAGCAAUUCAGGGGCAGAUGGAACAAGUGGUGGAGCGGUGAAAUGCGUAGAUAUCACUUGGAACGCCAAAGGUGAAGACAGUCUGCUGGGAAUUUGCUGACGCUGAGACACGAAAGCCAGGGGAGCGAACGGGAUUAGAUACCCCGGUAGUCCUGGCCCUAAACAAUGUCGACUAGAUCGUGGAACCUCUGACGGUUUCGCGGUCGAAGCAAAAGUGCUAAGUCGACCGCCUGGGAAGUACGGUCGCAAGGCUAAA